rnacentral:rRNA from 1 species
GACGGAGGGUGCAAGCGUUGUUCGGAUUGACUGGGCGUAAAGGGCGUGUAGGCGGUCGGCCAAGUCUGAUGUGAAAGCCCGAGGCUCAGCCUCGGAAGUGCGUCGGAAACUAGUCGGCUGGAGCGUGAUAGAGGAGGGUGGAAUUCCUGGUGUAGCGGUGAAAUGCGUAGAUAUCAGGAGGAACACCGGCGGCGAAGGCGGCCCUCUGGAUCGUUGCUGACGCUGAUACGCGAAAAGCGUGGGGAGCAAACAGG